ACCCAGACUCCUACGGGAGGCAGCAGUGGGGAAUAUUGCACAAUGGGGGGAACCCUGAUGCAGCGACGCCGCGUGUGGGAAGACGGUCCUCUGGAUUGUAAACCACUGUCCCCAGGGACGAAGAUGACGGUACCUGGGGAGGAAGCCCCGGCUAACUACGUGCCAGCAGCCGCGGUAAUACGUAGGGGGCAAGCGUUAUCCGGAUUUACUGGGUGUAAAGGGGGCGCAGACGGCAGCGCAAGCCAGGAGUGAAAGCCCGGGGCCCAACCCCGGGACUGCUCUUGGAACUGCGUGGCUAGAGUGCAGGAGGGGCAGGCGGAAUUCCUGGUGUAGCGGUGAAAUGCGUAGAUAUCAGGAGGAACACCGGUGGCGAAGGCGGCCUGCUGGACUGUAACUGACGUUGAGGCUCGAAAGCGUGGGGAGCAAACAGGAUUAGAUACCCCUGUAU
rnacentral:rRNA from 1 species